rnacentral:lncRNA from 12 species
CUGACCUCCUCCUUAGACAGAAUUAGACUUGAUUUUAGUCAAGGUGAGAUAUGAGCAAGUUGAAAGUUCAAUAAACAUCCAACUGAUACCACAAGCCUGGGUAGAUGGAGCCACAAUGCCUUUAAUUGAUUAGGGAUUUUUUUUUUCUUUCCAAUGAAGGGAGCCAACCUGAGAAUUGCUGUAGACAUUUCAGGUGGGUUGGGAACAGGAUGAACAACAGGAUGUGUUCAGAGGUGAACAGAAGCGCUCAGGGAUUCGGUUUGGAACCGAUUUAAUUAAUGCAGCUGACUUCAUUCAUAUCUUUCCUAAUCAGCUGGGCUCACAUGGAGGAGCAUAUGGAUCACUUCUGCAGCUGAGACAGUGGAGAGCAUGGGGGAGAGGACCUGGCUGUCCCACAGGGAGGAUGGAGCGACCUUGGGGCCCCUCAGGAGAAGCAGUGUGAGAUGAUGUAAUGCAGUUUGCAGAGGACACCGUGCCACAGGAUGGGAACGCGGGCUGGGCGUGGAGCAGGAAUCCAUCAGCGAUGCCGUGGAAGCACUGCCAUUCCCAGGCAGGAAAACCACUGCCCUGGCGUAGGGGCACGCCUGGAGCAGGCUGGAGGCUGGCAGGGAGGAGGUGAUUGCACCCUGCUGGUUUCACUUUGCUGACUGACUGGCAGCUGUGCCCGCACUUGUCUGCGUGCACGGACAUCUCCUGCGACCAUCUCAGCUGGCUCCCCCUCCAGCCUCUCCAAACCUGUCAGCUCCCUGUGUGCUCCCUUUCCAGCCUGCCACACACGAGCAUCAUUAAGGCUGUCUAGGCAAGGAGAUGAUCCUGCAGGUUUUUGGGGGGGUGGGGGUAAUGCUCAGUAAUUAAUUCACGUAAUUCAGCACUCCCAGUGCCAGGGGUAAUGCUGGAGCAUCCCUGCAUUGGUGGCACUGCUCUCUGCAGGAGGUUUAGGAUCAGGACUGCUCACCCUUUGCCUUUGGGGUGAGAAGUGCACUCUCAGCAGUGCUUGGCAAUUCCCUCUGCCCCGUGGGCUUUCCCACAAAGUGCAGUUGUGAUUCCUGUUGCUUCCAAGUGGUUGAGCCAAAUUUUUGCAACAUGCAAGCACCAGAU